UGGGGAAUAUUGCACAAUGGGCGCAAGCCUGAUGCAGCCAUGCCGCGUGUAUGAAGAAGGCCUUCGGGUUGUAAAGUACUUUCAGUCGGGAGGAAGGUGGUAAGGUUAAUAACCUUAUCAAUUGACGUUACCGACAGAAGAAGCACCGGCUAACUCCGUGCCAGCAGCCGCGGUAAUACGUAGGGUGCAAGCGUUAAUCGGAAUUACUGGGCGUAAAGCGCACGCAGGCGGUUGAUUGAGUCAGAUGUGAAAUCCCCGGGCUUAACCCGGGAAUUGCAUCUGAUACUGGUCAGCUAGAGUCUUGUAGAGGGGGGUAGAAUUCCAUGUGUAGCGGUGAAAUGCGUAGAGAUGUGGAGGAAUACCGGUGGCGAAGGCGGCCCCCUGGACAAAGACUGACGCUCAGGUGCGAAAGCGUGGGGAGCAAACAGG
rnacentral:rRNA from 1 species